GACGAACGCUGGCGGCGUGCUUAACACAUGCAAGUCGAACGAAAAGACGGAAAGAGCUUGCUCUUUCCAGAAUUGAGUGGCAAACGGGUGAGUAACACGUAAACAACCUGCCUUCAGGAUGGGGACAACAGACGGAAACGACUGCUAAUACCGAAUAAGUUCCAAGAGCCGCAUGGCCCAUGGAAGAAAAGGUGGCCUCUACCUGUAAGCUAUCGCCUGAAGAGGGGUUUGCGUCUGAUUAGCUGGUUGGAGGGGUAACGGCCCACCAAGGCGACGAUCAGUAGCCGGUCUGAGAGGAUGAACGGCCACACUGGAACUGAGACACGGUCCAGACUCCUACGGGAGGCAGCAGUGGG
rnacentral:rRNA from 1 species